rnacentral:lncRNA from 1 species
AUUGCCUCAAGGCUUAAAAAUCCUUCUUUAACCUGUGUCCUCCACUUCAUCUACACUGAUUGGACUGAGAUUAACAGGUGGCAUCAAUAAGGGAUUCCCCUGGUCAGUCUGUCACAGAAGAGCAGGUGUUCCUAAAGUUAUGUACCCUCACGUCACCAAGCCCUCACGUCACUACAGCCCUCACGCCACUACAGCCCUCACGUAACUAAGCCCUCAUGUCACCACACGCCCUCACGCCACCAGUCUCACUCACGCACUACAGCCCUCACGCCACUACAGCACUCACGCCACUACAGCCCUCACGUCACCACAGCCCUCAUGUCACCACAGCCCUCACGCCAUACACCCUCACACACUACAGCCCUCACGCCACUACAGCCCUCACUCACUACAGCCCCACGUCACUACAGCCCUCAAGUCACUACAUCCCUCAUCACUACAGCCCUCACGUCACUACAGCCCUCAAGUCACUACAUCCGUCUCGUCACUACAGCCCUCACGUCACUACAGCCCUCAUGUCACCCAGCCCUCACGCCACUACAGCCCUCACUGUCACCACAGCCCUCAUGUCACUACAGCCCUCACGCCACUACACGCCCACACCCUCACCCCAGUCACUACAGCCCUCACGUCACUACAACUACGCCCUCACGUCACUAACAUCCCUCACGUCACCACAGCCAUCAUGUCACCA